rnacentral:rRNA from 1 species
GAUGAACGCUGGCGGCGUGCCUAAUACAUGCAAGUCGAGCGAACGGACGAGAAGCUUGCUUCUCUGAUGUUAGCGGCGGACGGGUGAGUAACACGUGGAUAACCUACCUAUAAGACUGGGAUAACUUCGGGAAACCGGAGCUAAUACCGGAUAAUAUUUUGAACCGCAUGGUUCAAAAGUGAAAGACAGUCUUGCUGUCACUUAUAGAUGGAUCCGCGCUGCAUUAGCUAGUUGGUAGGGUAACGGCUUACCAAGGCAACGAUGCAUAGCCGACCUGAGAGGGGGAUCGGCCACACUGGAACUGAGACACGGUCCAGACUCCUACGGGAGGCAGCAGUAGGGAAUCUUCCGCAAUGGGCGAAAGCCUGACGGAGCAACGCCGCGUGAGUGAUGAAGGUCUUCGGAUCGUAAAACUCUGUUAUUAGGGAAGAACAUAUGUGUAAAUAACUGUGCACAUCUUGACGGUACCUAAUCAGAAAGCCACGGCUAACUACGUG